rnacentral:rRNA from 1 species
AACGAACGCUGGCGGCAGGCCUAACACAUGCAAGUCGAGCGAAGCCUUCGGGCUUAGCGGCGGACGGGUGAGUAACGCGUGGGAACGUGCCCUUUGGUACGGAAUAGCCCCGGGAAACAGGGAGUAAUACCGUAUGUGGUCGAGAGACGAAAGAUUUAUCGCCAAAGGAUCGGCCCGCGUUGGAUUAGGUAGUUGGUGGGGUAAUGGCCUACCAAGCCGACGAUCCAUAGCUGGUUUGAGAGGAUGAUCAGCCACACUGGGACUGAGACACGGCCCAGACUCCUACGGGAGGCAGCAGUGGGGAAUCUUAGACAAUGGGGGAAACCCUGAUCUAGCCAUGCCGCGUGAUCGAUGAAGGCCUUAGGGUUGUAAAGAUCUUUCAGUGGGGAAGAUAAUGACUGUACCCACAGAAGAAGCCCCAGCUAACUCCGUGCCAGCAGCCGCGUAAAAC